rnacentral:rRNA from 1 species
GAUGAACGCUGGCGGCGUGCCUAACACAUGCAAGUCGAGCGAGGAUGAGGAAGCUUGCUUCCAAAUCCUAGCGGCGGACGGGUGAGUAACGCGUGGGCAACCUACCCUAUGCAGGGGGAUAACAUUGGGAAACCAGUGCUAAUACCGCAUAAAGCCGAGAAGGGGCAUCCCUUUAUGGUCAAAGAACUUCGGCAUAGGAUGGGCCCGCGUCUGAUUAGUUAGUUGGUAAGGUAACGGCUUACCAAGACGAUGAUCAGUAGCCGGCCUGAGAGGGUGACCGGCCACACUGGAACGGAGACACGGUCCAGACUCCUACGGGAGGCAGCAGUGGGGAAUAUUGCACAAUGGGGGAAACCCUGAUGCAGCAACGCCGCGUGAGCGAAGAAGGCCUUCGGGUCGUAAAGCUCUGUCCUAAGGGAAGAUAAUGACGGUACCUUAGGAGGAAGCCCCGGCUAACUACGUGCCAGCCGCCGCAGUAA